rnacentral:lncRNA from 1 species
CGUCACCCUCCCCACUCUUCCCUCUUCUCUCUUCCCCAAGUGCUGCAGCCGCCCCCUCUCCAUUCUCAAGUUUUUUGCAGCAGCCAUCUCCUCAACCCUAGCCGCCACCCCCCAUCUCCUCUUCUCCAAGUGUCGUUCUUCCUCGUCGGAUCUUCUUCGUGUGGGUGCAAGUUUCAAUUGGAGAAUUGGUGGGAGGAAGGAAGGAGGAAAAAGGUGGAACUCAAGGUGAUCUUGAAGUUAUCUUUGUUUUUGCGCUAAAAUUCAAUUGAUUAUAUGUUUAUCUAUGCGAAUCGGUAGAGGUGCUGUCCAGAAUUUUUGUGGGAGGGCGAACAGCAGUAGUUCUAGGGAUUUCUGGGAAUUUUUCGUGGGCAAAUAGUGGGGAUCAGUGGGAGAAUCAUGUAGAGCUUUGUCAUAUAUUUCCAACGAGUACUUAUGCGCUCGAUUCGGAGUUAUAAUUUAGGAGUUAUCGUUGUUUGAAUCCGGUUAUGUUGCUGUCCAAAAAAACAGAUUUUUCAGGUGGGUGAACAGCAGUAGUAUUAGCAGUUUCUGCGAAUUUUUCGUGGGUAAUUAGUGUUAACCAGUAUUAUAAUCAUGUAGGGCUUUGUCUUAUCUUUCCAAUGAGUACUUAUGCGCUUGAUUUGGAAUUAUAUUUUAAAAGAUAUCGCUGUUUGAAUCCGGGUAUGUCGCUGUCCAAAAGACAAAAAAACAGAUUACAGAGUUCAUCUUGUGGACUGUUUUGGGCUAAUUAGAUGUUGGAAUUUAAUUAUAAAUUGUAUACAAAACUUGUGGGGCAUUUUAUGUAGAUGACUCGGGAGUUUUUUUUUUACCACUGCUGUCAUAAUUUUAAAGUUAUGAAAAUAUUAAGCAGCGCAGCUGCAGUUUGGUGGGUGUGGGGAGAGAUGUAACCCGCGGCGGGGUUUGAGUUUGUGCGUAGGUGCGGCGUCGUUUAUGAGCCUGAUUAUGUGAAAUUGGUGCACUAAGUUGUGUGUCAAAAACAGGUGGUGGACUCCCGGAUCGUACUUAGGGAUUUGCCCGAACUUCCGGUAAAGGCAAGUAAAUAUAGUGGUGGUUGCUACCGUUUGGUUUGCAUCCUAUUCCCUGUCAUUGAGUAUGCAUAAGUUUUAAUUAUGUUAAUCAUUGAAUUCUAUGAUGAAGUCUAUUUGUUUGGAAGUAUUAAUUCUCAAUUGUCUAAUAUUGUGGAUGAUCAUAAUUUGGUUAUGAUAUAUGUGGUUGAUUCCCAUCUUGGAUGAAGUUGAAGUAUCUUUUUGAAUCACGUUAUAUGAAGUGUUGUAGGCAUGACAUGCACAUCGCAUCAUCCAUCUUGCAUUUUGAAGUUAUGUCAUGAUCUUAUGGUCCGACCGUACCGGUACAUUUUUAGCAUCGUACGUUGCCCGAGGAGGGGUACGAUGCGGCUUCAUAUCCUUAGAGGUAUGAAGGCAGAAGUCAUCCUUGCAUUUGCAGACAUUUGCACUCAUGAGGUAUAUAUGAAGUGUGACGUUACUAUGUUACUAUUGUGGUUUCUACCUGCGAGGUGUGGUGACUAGGUGUGUUGUACGUUGUAUACGUGCUGCACCAUCGUAAUAAGAAAGUUGUGGAAUCAAGUGGUGGUAAAACAAUGUUCUUAUGUGGUUAAACAGUUUGAUAUUAUUUUACUUGCUGAGAUGUGUCAUCUCACUCUUGCAUUACUCAAUGCAGGUACUUGAUACAUGUUGGGAAUGAGGGGAGUAGCAGCACGUCCACUUUCACUCUCACAAUAAAGCUGCCCAGGCGCAGCCAUGAUUUAAUUAGAAACUUAUUGUCAAAGGAAGUUUGUUUCUUUUAACUAGUCGUGCGCACUAGUUAAUUCAGUUCAUGUCGUAUGUUUAACUUCUCUUUGCUAGCCGAUUAAUAAUACUUAGU